rnacentral:Y_RNA from 1 species
GGCUGGUCUGAAGGUAAUUUUAUUUUCAAUUGUUCACAGUCAGUUACAGAUUGAACUCCUGUUCCACUCUUUCCCCUUUCUCACUACUCUACUUGACUAGGCUCAU